GACAGAGGAGGCAAGCGUUAUCCGGAAUUAUUGGGCGUAAAGCGUCCGUAGGUGGUUUGACAAGUCUGGGGUUAAAGCCCGGAGCCCAACUCCGGAUCGGCUCUGGGAACUGUCAGACUUGAGUAAGGUAGGGGUUGCGGGAAUUCCCGGUGUAGCGGUGAAAUGCGUAGAUAUCGGGAAGAACACCAGCGGCGAAAGCGCGCAACUGGGGCAUUGCUGACACUGAGGGACGAAAGCUAGGGGAGCGAAUGGG
rnacentral:rRNA from 1 species